rnacentral:rRNA from 1 species
CUACGUAGGUGGCAAGCGUUGUCCGGAAUUACUGGGUGUAAAGGGAGCGCAGGCGGGACAGCAAGUUGGAUGUGAAAUACCGCAGCUCAACUGCGGAGCUGCAUCCAAAACUGUUGUUCUUGAGUGGGGUAGAGGUAGGCGGAAUUCCGAGUGUAGCGGUGAAAUGCGUAGAUAUUCGGAGGAACACCAGUGGCGAAGGCGGCCUACUGGGCUCUUACUGACGCUGAGGCUCGAAAGUGUGGGGAGCAAACAGGAUUAGAUACCCUGGUAGUCCACACUGUAAACGAUGAUUGCUAGGUAUGGGGGGUCUGACCCCUUCCGUGCCGGAGUUAACGCAAUAAGCAAUCCACCUGGGGAGUACGGCCGCAAGGUUGAAACUCAAAUGAAUUGGCGGGG